rnacentral:misc_RNA from 1 species
GCUUUUUUGGUAAUUCAGAAAGUAUUAAAGGGAGAGGCCAUGAGGGGUCUGUCAAGGUUUGAGUGCUUGACCUUAUGCACUAAAAUGCAAGCACUUGACCAUUAGGCUAGAAGCCCAAUGGCAUUUCUAUGCUAAAAAGAACCAUGGGAUAAAUUAGGAAUCGGAGCUGAUGCAACUGCUACAUAGCCCAACUCACAUUCCAUUGUCAGCUUUCAGUUUAUGUUCUACUAUUCCAUUUUGCAAAGUCUGGAAUUUCACCUUUUUUCCAUUCCUAUGUCAAAUCUUGCUAGUCGCUAAUGAGCAGAAUUUUUCAUUACAUGUUAAAAACACUUCUUGUAUUCCUGCUUCAUUUGCAAGUUUGGAACUGCAAAGAGCAGAUCCAAGAAUUAGCCUGAGAAAACCCUUUUCUCUCUGUUUUCGAUAAAUAAUGUUCAGAUGCUGUUAAAAAUGAAACUCAUUAUCUGAAGCAAAGUUGAUUAUUCUAGUGAUUUUAUACUUCUUUUGCUCAUUAUAAUAAUGUUCAGACAUGUAGAUGAUUUUAUAAUUUUUUGGCUCUCAUAAUGACUAGAGUGGUAUGUGCAUCUUGAUAAAAUGAAGUUCUAGUCUGUAUAUUCAUGCAUGUAGCCCAUAAGUGCACAAAUUCAUUUUUGUGGUGCUCAGAUAUUUUAUGUUGAAAGCCAGCAGUCAAUAUGCAAAUUCUCUGGGGGAUUAAAAUCUUUUGAGAUAUAAUUUUCUGAUUUGUUUGUUUAGCAUGGUGUUUAAUUUUGUUUUUGUUCCAGGUCUUUAAUGAAAUAAACAGCCGCGACGUAGAGAAGAUAAAUGUAUUCCGGGGCAUGUUCAACAGCUCGGUAUUUGUAGUUGUUAUUGUUUCAACAGUAACAUUCCAAGUCAUCAUAGUGGAGUUCUUGGGAACU